AGAAUCAACGCUGGCGGCGUGCCUAACACAUGCAAGUCGAACGAGAAAGGGUAGGCAAUACCUGAGUAAAGUGGCGCACGGGUGAGUAACACGUGACUAACCUACCCUGGAGUGGGGGAUAACUGAGGGAAACCUUAGCUAAUACCGCAUAACACCUACGGGUCAAAGGAGCAAUUCGCUUCAGGAGGGGUCGCGGCCGAUUAGUUAGUUGGCCGGGGUAAUGGCCCACCAAGACAGUGAUCGGUAU
rnacentral:rRNA from 1 species